rnacentral:rRNA from 1 species
GGUUAAGCGACUAAGCGUACACGGUGGAUGCCCUGGCAGUCAGAGGCGAUGAAGGACGUGCUAAUCUGCGAAAAGCGUCGGUAAGGUGAUAUGAACCGUUAUAGCCGGCGAUGUCCGAAUGGGGAAACCCAGUGCAAUUCGUUGCACUAUCGUUAACUGAAUACAUAGGUUAACGAGGCGAACCGGGGGAACUGAAACAUCUAAGUACCCCGA